rnacentral:rRNA from 1 species
CAGCGAAAUGCGAUACCUAGUGUGAAUUGCAGAAUUCCGCGAAUCAUCGAGUCUUUGAACGCAAGUUGCGCCCGAGGCUUGUCCCGAGGGCAUGCCUGCCUGAGCGUCACCGCACUCCCACCCGACGAACCCUCGUCGCGCGUGGAAAUGGCCGUCCGGGGUCGGGCGUCGAUGCCCAGCGCCGCGGUCGGCUGAAAUGGAGCGUUCUGGACGUAGCCGGAGAGGGGGAUUGCGAGAAGGUGAUCCGCCCUUCGGGCGGAGUCUAUUUUGACAGCGUCCCUCGAUCCGGAAGGUCCCACGGAACUCGGAGCGGGAGCUCGCCCGAUCGAUCGUUCGCGGUCGGUCGGGUGAGUCACACCACUGCUUGGACCUCAGAUCAGGCAAGAUUACCCGCUGAGUUUAAGCAUAUCACU